rnacentral:lncRNA from 1 species
CUCCAAAAACAGAGGAACCUCCAAAGAAAGAGGAACUUCCUAAGACAGACAAACCUUCUAAGAGUGAGGAGCAUCUAAAUACAGAGGUACCUUCAAAGAAAGAAGAACUUCCUAAGAGAGAGGAGCCAUCAGAUGAAACUCCAAUAACAGAGGAACCUCCAAAAACAGAGGAACCUCCAAAGAAAGAGGAACUUCCUAAGACAGACAAACCUUCUAAGAGUGAGGAGCAUCUAAAUACAGAGGAACCUCCAAAGAAAGAAGAACUUCCUAAGAGAGAGGAGCCAUCAAAGACAGAUGAAUCUUCAGAGGCAGGCCAACUUUCAAAGAAAGAUGAACUUUCAAAGACAGAAGAACCUUCUAAGACAGAAGAAUCUCUGAAAACAGAUGAACCUUCAAAGACAGGGGAAUCUCCAAUCACAGACAAGGCUCUGCAGUCAGAUGAAUCAUCGCAGACGCAAGAAUCUUUGCAGACUUCUAUAAUAGAAGAUUCAACUAAAAACACAGAGAAGGGUGUGACAGGAGACAGCAUCCCUGAGCAAAGGAGAGAAGAAUCGGAAACAAAUGAAUUCCUAAAGACAGAGGAAUCUCCAAAGAUAUGUGAUUCUACCAUGAAAGAUAAACCAGACAAAGAUAAGACAGAAAAAGCUCCUAAGAAAGAUGAAACUCCAAUAACAGAGGAACCUCCAAAAACAGAGGAACCUCCCAAGAAAGAGGAACCUCCUAAGACAGACAAACCUUCUAAGAGUGAGGAGCAUCUGAAUACAGAGGUACCUCCAAAGAAAGAAGAACUUCCUAAGAGAGAGGAGCCAUCAAAGACAGAUGAAUCUUCAGAGACAGGCCAACCUCCAAAGAAAGAUGAACUUUCAAAGACAGACAAACCUUCUAAGAGUGAGG